rnacentral:rRNA from 1 species
UGAGGAAUAUUGGGCAAUGCCCGAAAGGGUGACCCAGCAACGCCGCGUGGAGGAUGAAGGUCGUAAGAUUGUAAACUCCUGUUAGAGGGGAAGAAUAACUAAGUUUGGAGCUUAGUAUGACUGUACCCUCAGAGAAAGCCCCGGCUAACUACGUGCCAGCAGCCGCGGUAAUACGUAGGGGGCAAGCGUUGUCCGGAUUUACUGGGUGUAAAGGGCGCGCAGGCGGAAUGGAAAGUCACUGGUGAAAUCCUACAGCUUAACUGUAGAACUGCCUUUGAUGCUUUCAUAAUUGAAUUCGGGAGAGAGAGACAGAAUUCCAGGUGUAGUGGUGAAAUACGUAGAUAUCUGGAAGAACACCAGUUGCGAAGGCGGUCUCGUGGUCCGAUACUGACGCUGAGUCGCGAAAGCGUGGGGAG